UCUGAUCAUUCAUUCUUUUCUCCAAAAUUCUCCUAAGAUUUCUAGAAAUUCUCCACCAUGAGAAAUCCCCAAGACAAUCCUGCAACUCCACCACCAGUCUCACCUAACACCACCUCAUCUUCCACACCACCUGUUGAAACCCCUAAACCUAGAUUCCGUCGUCAGAAAAUGCUAGCAAGAAAAAUUGUUGCUUCUGGUCCUUUGAGGAAAGUUGUAAAUGAGAGAUUGAAGGCCAGUCAAAGAAAAGAAUCUCCAACCAAAGAGACUG
rnacentral:lncRNA from 1 species